rnacentral:snRNA from 1 species
AUAUUUUUUAUGUAUUGUAAAUAGCAUAUUAAAAACUCUGUUCUUAUCAGCUUAAUAUCUGAUACGGGUUCUAUAUGGACCCACGAUAUUAAACCUAUUUUUGGAUGUUGGCGGAGUGCUUGAAGCCUGCUUCAGCUCCGCCGCAGGUCGGCCCGGUAUUGCACUACCUCCGGGAUUGGGCUCCGCUCA